GACGUAGGGCGCGAGCGUUGUCCGGAUUUAUUCGGGCGUAAAGGGCUCGUAGGCGGCCAACUAAGUCGGAUGUGAAAUCCCCAGGCUCAACCUGGGAACUGCAUCCGAUACUGGAUGGCUUGAAUUCGGGAGAGGGAUGCAGAAUUCCAGGUGUAGCGGUGAAAUGCGUAGAUAUCUGGAGGAAUACCGGUGGCGAAGGCGGCAUCCUGGACCGACAUUGACGCUGAGGAGCGAAAGCCAGGGGAGCAAACGGG
rnacentral:rRNA from 1 species